rnacentral:rRNA from 1 species
AUUGAACGCUGGCGGCAGGCCUAACACAUGCAAGUCGAACGAGUGGCGGACGGGUGAGUAAUGUCUGGGAAACUGCCUGAUGGAGGGGGAUAACUACUGGAAACGGUAGCUAAUACCGCAUACCAUCAGAUGUGCCCAGAUGGGCUUAGCUUGUUGGUGGGGUAACGGCUCACCAAGGCGACGAUCCCUAGCUGGUCUGAGAGGAUGACAAGCCACACUGGAAGUGAGACACGGUCCAGACUCUUACGUGAGGCAGCAGUGGGGAAUAUUGCACAAUAGGCGCAAGCCCGAUGCAGCCAUUUCGCGUGUAUGAAUAAGGCCCUCGGGUUGUAAAGUACUUUCAGCGGGGAGGCGUUACCCGCAGAAGAAGCACCGGCUAACUCCGUGCCAGCAGCCGCGGUAAUUC